rnacentral:rRNA from 1 species
UACGAAGGGGGCUAGCGUUGCUCGGAAUGACUGGGCGUAAAGGGCGCGUAGGCGGCUUGCACCGUCAGAUGUGAAAUUCCUGGGCUUAACCUGGGGGCUGCAUUUGAUACGUGUGGGCUUGAGUGCGGAAGAGGGUCGUGGAAUUCCCAGUGUAGAGGUGAAAUUCGUAGAUAUUGGGAAGAACACCGGUGGCGAAGGCGGCGACCUGGUCCGUGACUGACGCUGAGGCGCGAAGCGUGGGAGCAAACAGG